rnacentral:rRNA from 1 species
AUGGCGCGGCCGCGCGGCACGACGAGCACGGGGCGGCACCGCAUCGAGAUGACCCUCAGGCCGGACAAGAACAGCCGGCAGGUCACCUUCUCCAAGCGCCGCGCCGGCCUCUUCAAGAAGUGCUCCGAGCUCGCCAUCCUCUGCGGCGCCCGCGUGGCCGCCGUCGUCUUCUCCGAGGCGGGCAACGCCUUCGCCCUCGGCAGCCCCUCCAUGGAGGCCGUCCUGCGCCGCUUCGACGACGGCAACGACGCCGGCGCCCUCGUUCCUGCCGCUGAGGACGACGACCGUGAGGCGCUGGAGGAGUUGUAUCGGGCCAGGGAGGCGACCGCGGAGCAGGUGGCGUCGGAGAUCAAGUGGAUGAAUACCAUCGGGGACAAGGUGGUCAAGGCCCAGAUGGGGAGGCGGUACUGGUGGGAGGCCGACGUGGAGGCGCUCGGGGAGGCCGAGCUGCCGGAGUUCGCCCGCGCGCUCGACCGGCUCAGGGCCAACGUGCGCCGCCACGCCGACAAGCUCCGCUCCUGA